rnacentral:rRNA from 1 species
CCUACGGGAGGCGGCAGUGGGGAAUAUUGCACAAUGGGCGCAAGCCUGAUGCAGCGACGCCGCGUGGGGGAUGACGGCCUUCGGGUUGUAAACUCCUUUCGCCAGGGACGAAGCGUUUUGUGACGGUACCUGGAGAAGAAGCACCGGCUAACUACGUGCCAGCAGCCGCGGUAAUACGUAGGGUGCAAGCGCUGUCCGGAAUUACUGGGCGUAAAGAGCUCGUAGGUGGUUUGUCACGUCGUCUGUGAAAUUCCACAGCUUAACUGUGGGCGUGCAGGCGAUACGGGCUGACUUGAGUACUGUAGGGGUAACUGGAAUUCCUGGUGUAGCGGUGAAAUGCGCAGAUAUCAGGAGGAACACCGAUGGCGAAGGCAGGUUACUGGGCAGUUACUGACGCUGAGGAGCGAAAGC